UAGUCAAAAUGACACUCAUUUGAUCAGCCA
rnacentral:piRNA from 1 species